CAUCUCAGAGAUGCCAAGUCUACUUUUCGGAGCCUCUGUCUACUACUUGUUUUGCUAAACAAGAACACACACAGUGUUGACUCCAUCUUUUAUAUGACGCCUCACCACAGUGUUACGCUGGCCAGUGCAAGGGAAAUCAGGAUGCUUCCUCAUACUGCACACCUUUAUCUGAAAACAAAAAACCAAAUAUGGGUGUUACAUUUCAGCUCCUUCCACCUCCUUCUGAAACCAGAGAACUGGAUUGGGACCAACAGAGAUCAUUCUGUUUACUUAACAGAUUUCAGAAAACGUGAAUUCUGAAUAAUCAUUUUUUUUUUUUUUUAGAUCUUACUAUGUGCAAUAAUCUUUGGUGAGAUUUACAAUCUCAUUUAAAGUUCUUUCAUGAUUUUCAUGAAAAUUGAGUGAUAUGUAAUAGAUAAUUAAUUUUUUUCCUUUGUAGCUGAUUCCUGACUUUUCUCCCUUGGUAAUAUAGCUUAUGAAGCAGAUAUAUAUUGCAAUACACCCUUGAUUUUAAGUCUUUCCAAUAGAAGACCAUAG